rnacentral:rRNA from 1 species
UACGAGAUGAUAGCGUCCGCUCGGUGCCGUCAACUGGGCUCCGCGGCCACCGGCCGGCCGAAGCGGUCUACGGCGUCGUCUCCUUUUUUCCCGCUGGCGAAAAGGUUUUCGCUUGGGGCCCGAAGUGUGGGGGUUGGGCGUGCGGCGCCAGGCGCCGCAUGAGAUGAGAUGGUCAGGUGGUAUGAGGCAGGGUCCCCGUCGGACCAUUAAUGCGGUGGCGCCGCCUCUCUCUUUCCCUCCCCUGACUGACUGAUAAAGAAAAUGGGAGCGGUGCUGACAUGUGCCCGCCGGUACCGUCUUCGUCCCCGCUUCAAAGAGGGGGUAAACCGGCGGCCAGAGGCGGAUAUAUAUGGGGCGGGCGUGCGCGGAGGAAGGGACCGGUCUGGCUCGACGAGAAGGAGGAGGUCAGGUCUGCACCGCCAAACUGAAAGACUGGAGCCUUGGCUAGCUUCCGCGGAGGGCACCCCUUUUAGGGGCCUGCUAAGAACCUCUUCUUUGGCGCCUAAGUCCCGGCCGCCUCCUCUCGCGCGGGGCGGCAAUGAUCCUAAACACGGGGGCGAGAGCGAGGCUAGCUCCUCACGUUACUUCCGUGGUAGCGAAGAACAAGUCACAAAGGGACCGAACGAAGGUUCGUUCCGGUGAUCAACACACGGCUAAUAUAGUCUCUCCCUAGACGUAGAUGGUAGUGGUCGACAACUUGAUUAGGGAAGUUUCUCACGAGUAGGAAUGUUUAUACGACCUCUCUUCCAGCUACAGGUUCCAGAACUACAAAAGUUCCCCUUCCAGUCACAUCGUCUAUACUAUCGGAAAAGGGGAAGACUUCAUCGUAGUAGUUUCGUACUACCAUCAGAGUUUAUAACCCUCUCAAGGUAGUGAUAACACUUAUAAUAAUUCUUACUCUAGGCACUACCCGUCGACUCGAAGUCCCCGUUCGCUCAAGAUCUCGAACCUACACCUAGACCGGAACGACCCUAAAAACGGACGAACUUCCCACGUAGAUAUCAAGUGAAGGUCCUGUGUUUACGUCUUUGGUAUUCUACGUCUUGUUACGGGUUACACGAACGCUUAGAACUCGUCCGAGCCCUGUCCGUCUUGUCUGGUAGUCUCUCGGGCCAAUGUGGUAGGUCUGUCAACAAUCGAGGGCAACAGGUAAAGAUACGGCCCCUCACCCUACUCGAGGGGUGUUAAGAGAGUCAACACGUAGGUGGACGUGUUGGUUGUUUGGAAUCGAAGAGACUCCUACUAAAAUACCUACCGACGUCAUCGGUACUGCCUUCGUCAUAUCAACCAGUCCUGGGGUCCGCUAGCUCCUUCGAAAGACCGUCGGCACGUACCCUCUCCCGGUCGCUCUGGCUGGGUCGUCUACCUCCCAUGCUACAUUAAAACUAAAGACUCUAGGGAUUACGCCACUUGAGAGAUUCCUUCGAGAUACGGGAAUAGUGAUUCACGGAUGCGGGAGGAAUACCUCAGAACAUACACCGAAGUUUCUUCUUGUACCAACCAAGUUCGCCCCCGCGUUCCGUCGAAUUUUCAAACUACCUCCUCCUUCCACAGGAACCACCAGUGAAGAACUGACUCUAUAGACUGGCCCUCUAUACCUUCAAGAAAAAGUUCAUUUGGCCGUUUACAACCCUGACUUUUUCUACUAGGGCCGGUACCGGAGCAUAUGUUUUUCUUAAGUAAACAGAUGAGCGUCGCGACAUGUAUGGCGCUUCGAAUCAAGCUAAUUAAGAAACCACUAUCCAAGUUCAUACCCGGAGUCAACAAUUUGGACGUUUACACAACCGUAAAAUUGGGAAGACAUCUAGAGGAUAGAGGAUCCACUGACAUAACUCGAAACGUAUGGCUUAGAUACCACGACCGUAUAGUGUGGUGCGAUAGUCGUUAUACAUGUUUACCUUUACCAAUGACAUGAACGAACAGCCAGAAUGAACUUAGCACAGAACGACUUUAGACCAUCUCGACCAGCACAGAAACAAAACUCUCGAACAAGAAAGAAAUUCCUACUUUAUAAAAUAAUAUGAUCAUCAAGUCUAAAUUCCUUCGUGUCGGAGUUGUUUUCUGAACAGUACGCGUACGUAUUAAUUCG